rnacentral:tRNA from 1 species
GUACCCGUAGCUUAAUGGAUAGAGCGCAGCCCUGCGGAGGCUGAAGUUGAGCGUUCGAAUCGCUCCGGGUACGCAA